GGAGUGCGGGUAAGGGUGAAACGGUGGUGUAAGAGACCACCAGCAUCUCGGGCGACCGAGAUGGCUGGGUAAACCCCACCUGGAGCAAGACCAAGAAGGACACGCUGGCCACGGCCGGCAUGUCCGCGCAGACGCCGAGUGUCGCCAGCGACGCUCGAGAGGCGGCCCGCCUGAGUCUGCGGGUAGGUCGCAUGAGCGCAUCGGCAACGAUGCGCCUAGAUGGAUGGCUGCCGGGAGCAGGUCCGAGAGGACCCGCUCACCACAGAAUCCGGCCUACAGGUCGGCUCGCCCG
rnacentral:RNase_P_RNA from 1 species